CAUCUCCCUUACACCGAGAAGCCGCCCGUGCAAAUCGAGCCACCCUG
rnacentral:tRNA from 2 species